rnacentral:rRNA from 1 species
CCUACGGGAGGCAGCAGUGGGGAAUCUUGCGCAAUGGGCGAAAGCCUGACGCAGCCAUGCCGCGUGAAUGAUGAAGGUCUUAGGAUUGUAAAAUUCUUUCACCGGGGACGAUAAUGACGGUACCCGGAGAAGAAGCCCCGGCUAACUUCGUGCCAGCAGCCGCGGUAAUACGAAGGGGGCUAGCGUUGCUCGGAAUUACUGGGCGUAAAGGGAGCGUAGGCGGACAUUUAAGUCAGGGGUGAAAUCCCAGAGCUCAACUCUGGAACUGCCUUUGAUACUGGAUGUCUUGAGUGUGAGAGAGGUAUGUGGAACUCCGAGUGUAGAGGUGAAAUUCGUAGAUAUUCGGAAGAACACCAGUGGCGAAGGCGACAUACUGGCUCAUUACUGACGCUGAGGCUCGAAAGCGUGGGGAGCAAACAGGAUUAGAUACCCUGGUAGUCCACGCCGUAAACGAUGAUUGCUAGUUGUCGGGAUGUUUACAUCUCGGUGACGCAGCUAACGCAUUAAGCAAUCCGCCUGGGGAGUACGGUCGCAAAGAUUAAAAACUCAAAAUGAAGUUAGUACGGCGUGAGAGUGCCGAACGGACGACGACGAAGGGAGGAGGAG